rnacentral:RNase_P_RNA from 3 species
GCAAGUAUUCCUAGAUGAUUGCUCUUGCUAAUUUAGUGAGAGAGGAAAGUCCGGACUCUAUGUCGGUCUCGAAUAUUUCGAGAUAGGUGCCAGUGUGAACUGGAAGGGAGUGAUCUUUUGGUUAAAAGGGCAACAGAAAGUUAUACCGCCUCGAAAGAGGUAAGGGUGAAAUGGUGGUGUAAGAGACCACCGGGUAUUGUAGUAAUACAAUAUUGCGAGGCAACCCCCACCUAGAGCAAGGUUAAAACCGCUUAGAUAGAUAAUCAUCAUAAACAGAAUUCGGCUUAUUGGGUGCUUGCGCAC